UACGUAGGGUGCGAGCGUUGUCCGGAAUUAUUGGGCGUAAAGAGCUUGUAGGCGGUUUGUCGCGUCUGCUGUGAAAAUCCGGGGCUCAACCCCGGACUUGCAGUGGGUACGGGCAGACUAGAGUGUGGUAGGGGAGAAUGGAAUUCCUGGUGUAGCGGUGGAAUGCGCAGAUAUCAGGAGGAACACCGGUGGCGAAGGCGGGUCUCUGGGCGAGUGAACUGACGCUGAGGAGCGAAAGCGUGGGGAGCGAACGGG
rnacentral:rRNA from 1 species